rnacentral:lncRNA from 1 species
CAUCAGUUUGUUCCCUAUUUCUUCUCUAGCCUGAGCCUGACACACUAUUCUAGCUAGACAUGGGUGUGGCUCGUGACACCUGAUGACCAAACGGAUCUACGACACCGUCGAAUCUCAAACUUUAACUACUAAAACUAUUGUUUUUCAUUCUAUAGUCCCUUUUAAAUUACUAAACGUCAUUUUUUUGUUCGAGAUUUGCAGGAACGCUUUCUUGGGGUUUGUGUGCAUGUAUUUCAAAUCAUACGGACCUAAAAAUUAGAAUCCAUUCCAUCUUUAUUCCCCUAGAGCCUUCCAGCAGUUCGUUAACCGCUCCAGUCGGAGCACGUUAUCAUUAUUGUUAGUUCUGAGUGAAUUCCCUCGGUAUGAUCAUUCUUUGAUCAGUUUGUUCCUCGUUUCUUCUCUAGUCUAAGCCUAACACACUAUUCUAGCUAGACAUGGGUGUGGCUCGUAACACCCGAUGACCAAACGGAUCUACGGCACCGUCGAAUCUCAAACUUUAACUGCGAAAACUAUUGUUUUUCAUCCCGUAGUCCUUUUUAGAAUUACUAAACAUCCUUUUUUGGGACGAGAUUUCCAGGAACGCUUUCUCGGGGUUUGUGUGCGCGUGUUUCAAACCAUACGGACCUUAAAAUUAGAAUUCAUUCCAUCUUUAUUCCCCUAGAGCCUUCCAGCAGUUCCUAAACCGCUCCAGUCGGAGCACGUUAUCAUUCUUGUUAGUUCUGAGCAAAUUCCCUCGGUAUGAUCAUUCUUUCAUCAGUUUGUUCCCUGUUUCUUCUCUAGUAUGAGCCUAGCACACUAUUCUAGCUAUUAAUGGGUGUGUAUCGUGACACCUAAUGACCAAACGGAUCUACGGCACCAUCGAAUAUCAAACUUUAACUGCCAAAACUAUUGUUUUUCAUACUGUAGUCCCUUUUACAAUUAUUGAACGUCCCUUUUUGGGCCGAUAUUUCUAGGAACGCUUUCUCGGGGUUUGUGUGCAUGUAUUUCAAACCAAACGUUCCUUAAAAUUUGAAAGCAUUCCAUGUUUAUUCCCCUAGAGCCUUCCAGCAGUUCCUAAACCGCUCCAGUCGGAGCACGUUAUCAUUCUUGUCAGUUCUGAGCGAAUUCCCUCGGUAUGAUCAUUUUUUCAUCAGUUUGUUCCCUAUUUCUUCACUAGUCUGAGCCUCGCACACUAUUCUAGCUAUUAAUGGGUGUGGAUCGUAACACCUGAUGACCAAACGGAUCUACGGCACCGUCGAAUCUCAAACUUUAAUUGCCAAAACUAUUGUUUUUCAUUCUGUAGUCCCUUUUAAAUUACUAAACGUCAUUUUUUGGGCUGAGAUAUCCAACAACGCUUUCUCGGGGUUUGUGUGCAUGUAUUUCAAACCAAACGUUCCUAAAAAUUAGAAGUCAUUCCAUCUUUAUUCCCCUAGAGCCUUCCAGCAGUUCCUAAACAGCUCUAGACGGAGCACGUUAUCAUUCUUGUUAGUUCUGAGCGAAUUCCCUCGGUAUGAUCAUUCUUUCAUCAGUUUGUUCUGCAUUCUUCUCUAGUCUGAGCCUCGCACACUAUUCUAGCUAUCAAUGGGUGUGGAUCAUAACACUAAUGACCAAACGGAUCUACGACACCAUCGAAUCUCAAACUUUAACAGCCAAAACUAUUGUUUUUCAUCCUGUAGUCCCUUUUAGAAUUACUAAACGUCCUUUUUUGGGCCGAGAUUUCCAGGAACGCUUUCUCGGGGUUUGUGUGCAUGUAUUUCAAACCAUAUGGACCUAAAAAUUAGAAGUCAUUCCAUCUUUAUUCCCCUAGAGCCUUCCAGCAGUUCCUAAACUGCUCUAGUCGGAGCAUGUUAUCAUUCUUGUUAGUUCUGAGUGAAUUCCCUCGGUAUGAUCAUUCUUUCAUCAGUUUGUUCCCCAUUUCUUCGCUAGUCUGAGCCUAGCACACUAUUCUAGAUAGACAUGGGUGUGGGUCUUAACACCUGAUGACCAAACGGAUCUACGGCACCCUCGAAUCUGAAACUUUAACUGCCAAAACUAUUGUUUUUCAUCUUGUAGUCCCUUUUAGAAUUACUAAACGUCCUUUUUUGGGACGAGAUUUCCAGAAUGCUUUCUCGGGGUUUGUGUGCAUGUAUUUCAAACCAAACGUUCCUAAAAAUUAAAAGUCAUUCCAUCUUUAUUCCCCUAGAGCCUUCCAGCAGUUCCUAAACAGCUCUAGUCGGAGCAUGUUAUCAUUCUUGUUAGUUCUGAGUGAAUUCCCUCGGUAUGAUCAUUCUUUCAUCAGUUUGUUCCCCGUUUCUUCUCUAGUCUGAGCCUAGCACACUACUCUAGCUAGACAUGGGUUUGGCUCGUAACACCUGAUAACCAAACGGGUCUACGACACCAUCGAAUCUCAAACUUUUUUGGGCCGAGAUUUCCAGGAACGCUUUCUCGNNNNNNNNNNUCGCUAGCCUAAGCCUGACACACUAUUCUAGCUACACAUGGGUGUGGCUCGUGACACCUAAUGACCAAACAGAUCUACGGCACCGUCGAAUCUCAAACUUUAACUACCAAAACUAUUGUUUUUCAUUCUGUAGUCCCUUUUAAAUUACUAAACGUCAUUUUUUGGGCCGAGAUUUCUAGGAACGCUUUCUCAGGGUUUGUGUGCAUGUAUUUCAAGUCAUAUGGACCUAAAAAUUAGAAUCCAUUCCAUCUUUAUUCCCCUAGAGCCUUCCAGCAGUUCCUAAACCGCUCCAGUCGGAGCACAUUAUCAUUAUUGUUAGUUCUGAGUGAAUUCCCUCGGUAUGAUCAUUCUUUCAUCAGUUUGUUCCCCGUUUCUGCUCUAGUCUGAGCUUAACACACUAUUCUAGCUAGACAUGGGUGUGGCUCGUAACACCUGAUGACCAAACGGAUCUACGAUACCGUCGAAUCUCAAACUUUAACUACGAAAACUAUUGUUUUUCAUUCUAUAGUCCCUUUUAGAAUUACUAAACGUCCUUUUUUGGGCCGAGAUUUCCAGGAACGCUUUCUCGGGGUUUGUGUGCACGUAUUUCAAACAAUACGGACCUAAAAAUUAGAAUUCAUUCCAUCUUUAUUCCCCUAGAGCCUUCCGGCAGUUCCUAAACCGCUCAAGUCGGAGCACUUUAUCAUUCUUGUUAGUUCUCAGCGAAUUCCCUCGGUAUGAUCAUUCUUUCAUCAGUUUGUUCCCCAUUUCUUCUCUAGCCUGAGCCUAACACACUAUUCUAGCUACAAAUGGGUGUGGCUCGUCACACCCGAUGACCAAACGGAUCUACGGCACCGUUGAAUCUCAAACUUUAACUGCGAAAACUAUUGUUUUUCAUCCUGUAGUCCUUUUUAGAAUUACUAAACGUCCUUUUUUGGGACGAGAUUUCCGGGAACGCUUUCUCGAGGUUUGUGUGCGCGUAUUUCAAACCAUACGAACCUUAAAAUUAGAAUUCAUUCCAUCUUUAUUCCCCUAGAGCCUUCCAGCAGUUCCUAAACCGCUCCAGUCGGAGCACGUUAUCAUUCUUGUUAGUUCUGAGCGAAUUCCCUCGGUAUGAUCAUUCUUUCAUCAGUUUGUUCCUUGUUGCUUCUCUAGCCUGAGCCUGAUACACUAUUCUAGCUAGACAUGGGUGUGGCUCGUGACACCUGAUAACCAAACGGAUCUACAGCACCGUCGAAUCUCAAACUUUAACUACCAAAACUAUUGUUUUCAUUCUGUAGUCCCUUUUAAAUUACUAAACGUCAUUUUUUCGGCCGAGAUUUCCAGGAACGCUUUCUUGGGGUUUGUGUGCAUGUAUUUCAAAUCAUAAGGACCUAAAAAUUAGAAUCCAUUCCAUCUUUAUUUCCCUAGAGCCUUCCAGCAGUUCCUAAACCGCUCCAGUCAGAGCAUGUUAUCAUUAUUGUUAGUUCUGAGUGAAUUCCCUCGGUAUGAUCAUUAUUUCAUCAGUUUGUUCCCCGUUUCUUCUCUAGUCUGAGCCUAACACACUAUUCUAGCUAGACAUGGGUGUGGCUCGUAACACCCGAUGACCAAACGGAUCUACGGCACCGUCGAAUCUCAAACUUUAACUGCGAAAACUAUUGUUUUUCAUCCUUUAGUCCUUUUUAGAAUUACUAAACGUCCUUUUUUGGGACGAGAUUUCCAGGAACGCUUUCUCGGGGUUUGUGUGCGCGUAUUUAAAACCAUACGAACCUUAAAAUUAGAAUUCAUUCCAUCUUUAUUCCCCUAGAGCCUUCCAGUAGUUCCUAAACCGCUCCAGUCGGAGCACCUUAUCAUUCUUGUUAGUUCUGAGCAAAUUCCCUCGGUAUGAUCAUUCUUUCAUCAGUUUGAUCCCCGUUUCUUCUCUAGUCUGAGCCUAGCACACUAUUCUAGCUAUUAAUGGGUGUGGAUCGUAACACCUAAUGACCAAACGGAUCUACGUCACCAUCGAAUCUCAAACUUUAACUACCAAAACUAUUGUUUUUCAUCCUGUAGUCCCUUAAAAUUAGAAUUCAUUCCAUCUUUAUUCCCCUAGAGCCUUCCAGUAGUUCCUAAACCGCUCCAGUCGGAGCACAUUAUCAUUCUUGUUUGUUCUAAGCGAAUUCCCUCAGUAUGAUCAUUCUUUCAUCAUUUUGUUCCCGGUUUCUUCUCUAGUCUGAGUCUAGCACACUAUUCUAGCUAGACAUGGGUGUGGCUCGUAACACCUGAUGACCAAACGGAUCUACGGCAUCGUCGAAUCUCAAACUUUAAUUGCCAAAACUAUUGUUUUUCAUCCUGUAGUCUCUUUUAAAUUUACUAAACGUCCUUUUUUGGGCUGAGAUUUCCUGGAACGCUUUCGUGCGGUUUGUGUGCAAGUAUUUCAAAUCAUACGGACCUAUAAAUUAGAAGUCAUUUCAUCUUUAUUCCCCUAGAGCCUUUGAGCGGUUCCUAAACCGCUCUAGUCGGAGCAUGUUAUCAUUCUUGUUAGUUCUGAGUGAAUUCCCUCGGUAUGAUAAUUCUUUCAUCAGUUUGUUCCCCGUUUCUUCUCUAGUCUGAGCCUAGCACACUACUCUAGCUAGACAUGGGUUUGGCUCGUAACACCUGAUAACCAAACGGGUCUACGACACCAUCGAAUCUCAAACUUUUUUGGGCCGAGAUUUCCAGGAACGCUUUCUCGGGGUUUGUGUGCACGUAUUUCAAAUCAUGCGGACCUAAAAAUUAGAAGUCAUUCCAUAUUUAUUCCCCUAGAGCCUUCCAGCAGUUCCUAAAUCGCUCUAGUCCGAGCAUGUUAUCAUUCUUGUUAGUUCUGAGCGAAUUCCCUCGCUAUGAUCAUUCUUUCAUCAGUUUGUUCUGCGUUUCUUCUCUAGUCUGAGCCUAGCACACUAUUCUAGCUAUUAAUGGGUGUGGAUCGUAACACAUAAUGACCAAACGGAUCUACGGUACCUUCGAAUCUCAAACUUUAACUGCCAAAACUAUUGUUUUUCAUCCUGUAGUCCCUUUUCGAAUUAUUAAACGUCCUCUUUUGGGCCGAGAUUUCUAGGAACGCUUUCUAGGGGUUGGUGUGCAUGUAUUUCAAAUCAUACGGACCUAAAAAUUAGAAGGCAUUUCAUCUUUAUUCCCCUAGAGCCUUCCAACAGUUCCUAAGCCGCUCCAGUCGGAGCAUGUUAUCAUUCUUGUUAGUUCUGAGCGAAUUCCCUCGGUAUGAUCAUUCUUUCAUUAGUUUGUUCCCUAUUUCUUCUCUAGCCUUAGCCUGACACACUAUUCUAGCUAGAAAUGGGUGUGUCUCGUGACACCUAAUGACCAAACGGAUCUACGGCACCGUCGAAUCUCAAACUUUAACUACCAAAACUAUUAUUUUUCAUUCUGUAGUCCCUUUGAAAUUACUAAAUGUCAUUUUUUGGGCCGAGAUUUCCAGGAACGCUUUCUCGGGGUUUGUGUGCAUGUAUUUCAAGUCAUACGGACCUAAAAAUUAAAAUCCAUUCCAUCUUUAUUCCCCUAGAGCCUUCCAGCAGUUCCUAAACCGCUCCAGUCGGAGCAUGUUAUCAUUAUUGUUAGUGCUGAGUGAAUUCCCUCGGUAUGAUCAUUCUUUCAUCAGUUUGGUCCCUGUUUCUUCUCUAGUCUGAGCCUAACACACUAUUCUAGCUAGACAUGGGUGUGGCUCGUAACACCUGAUGACCAAACGGAUCUACGGCACCGUCGAAUCUCAAACUUUAACGACGAAAACUAUUGUUUUUCAUUCUAUAAUCCCUUUUAGAAUUACUAAACGUCCUUUUUUGGGACGAGAUUUCCAGGAACGCUUUCUCCGGGUUUGUGUGUGAGUAUUUCAAACAAUACGGACCUAAAAAUUUGAAUUCAUUCCAUCUUUAUUGCCCUAGAGCCUUCCAGCAGUUCCGAAACCGCUCCAGUCGGAGCACGUUAUCAUUCUUGUUAGUUCUCAGGGAAUUCCCUUGGUAUGAUCAUUCUUUCAUCAGUUUGUUCCCCGUUUCUUCUCUAGCCUGAGCCUAACACACUAUUCUAGCUACACAUGGGUGUGGCUCCUAACACCUGAUGACCAAACGGAUCUAUGGCACCGUCGAAUCUCAAACUUUAACUGCCAAAACUAUUGUUUUUCAUCCUGUAGUCCCUUGUAGAAUUACUAAACGUCCUUUUUUGGGUCUAGAUUUCGAGGAACACUUUGCCGGGGUUUGUGUGCACGUAUUUCAAACCAUACGGACCUAAAAGUUAGAAGUCAUUCAGUCUUUGUUCCCCUAGAGCCUUCCAGCAGUUCCUAAACCGCUCCAGUCGGAGCAUGUGAUCGUUCUUGUUAGUUCUGAGCGAAUUCCCUCGUUAUGAUCAUUCUUUCAUCAGUUUGUUCCCUGUUUCUUCUCUAUCCUGAGCCUGACACACUAUUCUAGCUAGACAUGGGUGUGGCUCGUGACACCUGAUGACCAAACGGAUCUACGGCACCGUCGAAUCUCAAACUUUAACUACCAAAACUAUUGUUUUUCAUUCUGUAGUCCCUUUUAAAUUACUAAACAUCAUUUUUUGGACAGAGAUUUCGAGGAAUGCUUUCUCGGGGUUUGUGUGCAUGUAUUUCAAAUCAUACGGGCCUAAAAAUUAGAAUCCAUUCCAUCUUUAUUCCCCUGGAGCCUUCCAGCAGUUCCUAAACCGCUCCAGUCGGAGCAUGUUAUCAUUAUUGUUAGUUCUGAGUGAAUUCCCUCGGUAUGAUCAUUCUUUCAUCAGUUUGCUCCCCGUUUCUUCUCUAGUCUGAGCCUAACACACUAUUCUAGCUAGACAUGGGUGUGGCUCGUAACACCUGAUGACCAAACGGAUCUACGGCACCCUCGAAUCUCAAACUUUAACUGCCAAAACUAUUGUUUUUCAUCUUGUAGUCCCUUUUAGAAUUACUAAACAUCCUUUUUUGGGCCGAGAUUUCCAGGAACGCUUUCUCGGGGUUUGUGUGCAUGUAUUUCAAACCAAACGUUCCUAAAAAUUAGAAGGCAUUCCAUCUUUAUUCCCCUAGAGCCUUCCAGAAGUUCCUAAACAGCUCUAGUCGGAGCAUGUUAUCAUUCUUGUUAUUUCUGAGUGAAUUCCCUCGGUAUGAUCAUUCUUUCAUCAGCAUCAGUUUGUUUUGCGUUUCUUCUCUAGUCUGAGCCUAGCACACUAUUCUAGCUAUUAAUGGGUGUGGAUCGUAACAC